rnacentral:rRNA from 1 species
AUUAGAGUUUGAUCCUGGCUCAGGAUGAACGCUAGCGACAGGCUUAACACAUGCAAGUCGAGGGGCAGCAUAAAAGUAGCAAUACUUUGGUGGCGACCGGCGCACGGGUGAGUAACGCGUAUGCAACCUACCUAUCAGAGGGGAAUAACCCGGCGAAAGUCGGACUAAUACCGCAUAAAACAGGGACACCGCAUGGUGAUAUUUGUUAAAGAAAUUCGCUGAUAGAUGGGCAUGCGUUCCAUUAGGUAGUUGGUGAGGUAACGGCUCACCAAGCCGACGAUGGAUAGGGGAACUGAGAGGUUGGUCCCCCACACUGGUACUGAGACACGGACCAGACUCCUACGGGAGGCAGCAGUGAGGAAUAUUGGUCAAUGGGCGAGAGCCUGAACCAGCCAAGUCGCGUGAAGGAAGAAGGAUCUAUGGUUCGUAAACUUCUUUUGCAAGGGAAUAAAGUGCAGGACGUGUCCUGUUUUGUAUGUACCCUGAGAAUAAGGAUCGGCUAACUCCGUGCCAGCAGCCGCGGUAAUACGGAGGAUCCGAGCGUUAUCCGGAUUUAUUGGGUUUAAAGGGUGCGUAGGUGGUUUGAUAAGUCAGCGGUGAAAGUUUGCAGCUUAACUGUAAAAAUGCCGUUGAAACUGUCGGACUUGAGUGUAAAUGAGGUAGGCGGAAUGCGUGGUGUAGCGGUGAAAUGCUUAGAUAUCACGCAGAACUCCGAUUGCGAAGGCAGCCCCCUGGGAUAAUACUGACGCUCAUGCACGAAAGCGUGGGGAGCAAACAGGAUUAGAUACCCUGGUAGUCCACGCCCUAAACGAUGUCAACUAGCUGUUGGGGCCUUCGGGUCUUAGUAGCGCAGCUAACGCGUGAAGUUGACCGCCUGGGGACUACGGUCGCAAGACUAAAACUCAAAGGAAUUGACGGGGACCCGCACAAGCGGUGGAUGAUGUGGAUUAAUUCGAUGCAACGCGAAAAACCUUACCUACCCUUGACAUGUCUGGAAUCCCGAAGAGAUUUGGGAGUGCUCGCAAGAGAACCGGAACACAGGUGCUGCAUGGCUGUCGUCAGCUCGUGUCGUGAGAUGUUGGGUUAAGUCCCGCAACGAGCGCAACCCUUGUCAUUAGUUGCUACGAAAGGGCACUCUAAUGAGACUGCCGGUGACAAACCGGAGGAAGGUGGGGAUGACGUCAAGUCCUCAUGGCCCUUAUGGGUAGGGCUUCACACGUCAUACAAUGGUCGGGACAGAGGGUCGCCAACCCGCGAGGGGGAGCCAAUCUCAGAAACCCGAUCGUAGUCCGGAUUGUAGGCUGCAAUUCGCCUACAUGAAGUCGGAAUCGCUAGUAAUCGCGGAUCAGCAUGCCGCGGUGAAUACGUUCCCGGGCCUUGUACACACCGCCCGUCACACCAUGAGAGUUUGUAACACCCAAAGUCGGUGGGGUAACCUUUUAGGAACCAGCCGCCUAAGGUGGGACAGAUGAUUAGGGUGAAGUCGUAACAAGGUAACCAAU